GAAUUCACUAGUGAUUCAGGCCUAACACAUGCAAGAAAAAAGAUCUUCUUCGGAAGAGAGCGGCGGACGGGUGAGUAACGCGUGGGUAACCUGCCCUGUACACACGGAUAACAUACCGAAAGGUAUGCUAAUACGAGAUAAUAUGCUUUUAUCGCAUGGUAGAAGUAUCAAAGCUCCGGCGGUACAGGAUGGACCCGCGUCUGAUUAGCUAGUUGGUGAGGUAACGGCUCACCAAGGCGACGAUCAGUAGCCGACCUGAGAGGGUGAUCGGCCACAUUGGAACUGAGACACGGUCCAAACUCCUACGGGAGGCAGCAGUGGGGAAUAUUGCAAGGGGGGCGAAAGCCUGAUGCAGCAACGCCG
rnacentral:rRNA from 1 species